rnacentral:lncRNA from 1 species
GAAGGCAUAGGAAGAGGGACAGCACUUGAAGCCCUUCCAUUUUCAGAAAAAAGAAUCGGACUUUGAGAUAUGAAGAAACUGGGGUGAAGGGCCCCUCUCCCCUCAUAGAGGAUAUGGGGAGAUGGGAUGUGACAUUUUUCUGUGCUUAGGACUGUGUUCACAUGAACACAGUGAGAGGCCUGUUGAUAAAAAGAAGCAAUAUUGUUGGGAUGCCUAGGAUUUCAAAAUAUUACUUCAUAAUAAGCACAAAACACAUCUUAAAGCACAUAUUAUGGGUCCAGAAGAACACAUCUUUCAGUGUUCUUUACUUUGAGAAGUAUUUAAACUACUCUGGCAGAUGAAGGAAGGUAGCUUGUUUCCUUAUUUCCUGUCAAGUGAGCCAACUCCUGUGACCUGUAGUUAAAAAGGCCCUUUGUAAUUAAGGCAGUGAGCCUCCAAGUGAACAGUUCUCACAGUAGGAGGGGGAGCAGGGGGAAGAAGAAGAAGAAAAAAGCAACAACAAAAAAAAAAAAGAGGAUGCAUGACACUGCUUAACUAACUAAUCGGAGCUGAGCCAAUCCAUUUUCCUGCAGGCCACUCAGUGUACCAUGAGCACGCAGAAUCUCGCCCUUCAUUGGCUUCAUGUCCAUUUUAUGGACCAGCGAGUCUAUUAAGAUCUUGGUGAGUGGCCCUAUCCGAGGGCAGGGCUCCCUCUCUGCCUACCCACACACCACCAGAAACUGAUCAGCCGUGUUAUAUCAAUAACGUUCUCACACCAGGUUGUGUAAAUUGAUCUUUUACAAUUUCUCUCGGUGACAGUCUCUGUAACCAACAAGAUAAAUCAUUCCUCCUGUGGCUUUUUUAUUGAUUGCUGAGACCUGUAUAAAAAUUACACUGCUCAAGCUGUGAAGUGAACAUCCUCAUAAAAGAAGACCUUCUAUUUACAAUCAAAAUAUGUUUGGUCCAGAUCAAGCACAGAUAGUAAAUACUAUCCCAAUAGCAUAAGAGACCAGAAUUAACUAAAAUUCAAAGCACCAGCAAAGUAACCCACAUAAACUUUUAAAAUGUGAAUGGUGCACAACAACACCAAGGAAAAAAAAGAAAAGCAAACAAAAAAACCCCAAACUUGCAAGGUUAUAAACUCUUGUUGAAGCAAAGGCAGUUAUAAUAG